UACUGCUUCCGUAGUCCUUCAUUGUACCUGCGAGGCCUUUGAGUCUGCCACCCUUCCCAUAUCUUUUACUCAGUUUGUUCUUCCUCUCCUCACCGAGAUCAUGGCCGCUAAAAGGCCUCGGGGUGACUCCGACGAAAACUCGGAUCGGCUCGGUGAUAAAAGGAUCAAGCGCCGACCUUCAUUUGCGACGGUGAUAAAGGAAGCUAUGAUGGUGAGCAAACAGCAGAGCAUACUUUCGUCCUUGGAGCCAUUGUUUCGCAAAGUGGUGCAAGAGGAAGUGGAAAGAAUACUGCUUCACAGUACCUAU